rnacentral:lncRNA from 1 species
CGGGCCUGCAGUGCUUGCUGGAUGCUGGGCUCUUCUGCGGACCCGCGGGGAGGCGCGGCCCGAAGCGGGAGGCCUGGCGUCCGCGCCGCCGGGAGGGAGGCUGCACCUUUUGUCAGAGUCACUGAGCCAUGUUUGGGGGCGGUGCAGUUGCCGAGGCGGCGGCGGCGCGGGGCAGGGUGCGAUCAUCUGGGAAGACACCGUCCCCUGCCCCGCCGGCGCGGUGGUAUCUCCCUUAAAGAAGCCGGCGCCUCAUUGUUCCCGGGCCGCAGCCGCGGGGAGUCUGGGGCUCCCUGCCCUGCGCGAGGAGGAGGGGGCGGCGGCCCCCGCACCCCCUGUCCGGCGGCGGCACCUGCGGGCUUGUCGUGGAGAGUCGGGAUCCCGCAGGCGCGCGGCGAGAGGCGGCGGUCCGAGUCGGCCGGGGCCGGGAGUGACAGCGAAGGCCUGUGACAGCCAGCCCGGGACUGUCAGUUACUCAGAGACCCGGACCAAUCGGUCAUUCACUUAGUUGCGCAGCUCACCUCCUCUAUCUGAUAUGGUACCAAGAUACACCCGAGGAGAGCGUUGUCAUACAUUGCUGGUGGGAACGCAAAAUGAUGUAACUCUAAUUAAGGAGAUUUGGCAAUAUAUAGCUACGUUACGUAUGUAUUUACUCUUUCACCCAGUAAUCCUAGGUCAAAUCCUAAACUAGGAAUCUGUCCUAGUGAUAUACCGGCAAAAAUAUAAAAAGUUGUAUACACAAGGCUAUUCAUUAUGGCAUUAUUUUUAUAGCAAGAUUGGAAACUGCUCACAUGUCAAUAAAGAACUGGCUGAAUAUAGUACAUACACAGGAUGGAGUGCUAUGCAGCUGUAAAAAGAUCAGGAAGAUUUCAUAUAUAUGCUAAUAAACAUGCUAAUAUGGAGUAAUGUCCAUAUAUUGUGAAGUGACAUAAGCAAGGAGCAUAAUAGUGUUUAUAGCAUGUGUAAGUAACGGAGAGAUAUAAAUAUACAUUAAUUGCUUAUACUUAAAAGUUAAACAAUGGAAGAAUAAACUGUAAUCUUCUAAAAAUGGUUUCUUAUAU